rnacentral:rRNA from 1 species
GACGAACGCUGGCGGCGUGCUUAACACAUGCAAGUCGAACGGUAAGGCCCUGCUUUUGUGGGGUGCUCGAGUGGCGAACGGGUGAGUAACACGUGAGUAACCUGCCCUUGACUUUGGGAUAACUUCCGGAAACUGGGGCUAAUACCGGAUAGGAGCUCCUGCUGCCUGGUGGGGGUGGGAAAGUUUCGGUGGUUGGGGAUGGUCUCGCGGCUUAUCAGCUUGUUGGUGGGGUAGUGGCUUACCAAGGCUUUGACGGGUAGCCGGCCUGAGAGGGUGACCGGCCACAUUGGGACUGAGAUACGGCCCAGAGUCCUACGGGAGGCAGCAGUGGGGAAUAUUGCACAAUGGGCGGAAGCCGGAUGCAGCAACGCGGCGUGCGGGAUGACGGCCUUCGGGUUGUAAACCGCUUUCGCCGGUGACGAAGCGUGAGUGACGGUAAUGGGUAAAGAAGCACCGGCUAACUACGUG